rnacentral:lncRNA from 1 species
CCGCGCCUCUCCCGCCACACCUCCCUGCAAGCUGAGGGAGCCGGCUCCUGCCUUGGCCAGGCUAGAAAGGGGCUCCCACAGUGCAGGGGCGGGCUGAAGGGCUCCUCAAGUGCCACCAAAGUGGGAGCCCAGGCAGAGGAGGUGCCGAGAGCGAGCGAGGGCUGCGAGGACUGCCAGCAGCUGUCACCUCUCGUUACCAUCACUCCUAGUGACCAUUUCGGAUAAUCCACCUUGCCUCAUCAAACCAGAAAACAAUUCAAACCUGGCCUCCUUCUAACUGGAAGCCACAUUUUAAGAACUUAUUGUGAAGAACUGGAAAGCCUCCAAUAGCACGGGACCUGGCAUGGAGCAGCAUUCAAAAUAUUGGGUAGAAGGAAAAAGGAAGAAAGAAGGGAAGGACAGGGAAGCAAGGAAAUAAAGGAAAUCAGGCUAUAUAUACAGUGAUGCCCAUCUACCCCUGAGAUCUAAAAAUCUAAGAUGAAAACGAGCACACAGUCUUGGCAGCAUUGGGGUAACAGACUAUGAAAGAAGAAAUCAGAUUGGAAAAUUCAGUAUAUCAAUGAAGAAAAUAAUCACUCAAGGAGAGGAAUAAACAGCAAAACAAUCUAUAUAUUUAAUUAUAGAUACAAUUGUUUCAAUGCUGAUUAUUCAUCCUUAUAUAACUGUCUACAGCUAUUUAGGGUUGUCUUCAUCCAUUUUGUGUUGCCAUUGCAGAAUACGUGAAACUGGGUAAUUUGUAAAGAAAAGAGAUUUUUUAACUUAUGGGUUCUGCAGGAUGGGAAGUUCAAGAAACAUGACACCAGCAUCUGCUUGGUUUCUGUUGAGGACUUUCAUGCUUAUAUCACAACAUGGCAGAAGGUUAAAGGGGGAGUAGACAUGUGCAAAUAGGCAAAACCUGAGGGGCAUCUUGGCUUUAUAACAACCCACUCUUGGAGGACUAAUUCAUUCUUGAGAGAACUAAUCUGGUCUUGCCAGAGAAAAAAUUCACUCACUGCCUACUGUGAGAAUAGCACUAAGCCAUCCAUGAGAGUGGAGCCCCAUCACUCAAACACCUCCCAUUAGGCUCUACAGCUUACAGAUUAUACCUCCUAACAUUGCCACAGUGGGAAACAAAUUUCAAGAUGAGAUUUGGUGGGGACAGACCAUAUCUAAACAAAGAGUAAACAAGGGUAAACAACUUUUGAGAACAUACUUGUGAUCCUUUAUUUCAACCCAGAAUGAUGCCAGAAUUUUGGAGAUGGGGCUCAGAGCAAAUCAGUAAGUUACAAUUCUCAAGUUUCACAGGGAAGUGGGAGUGAGAGACACAUCAUGGAGGACCACGCGACUCUCAGUUACACUGGGUGAAUUGUCUUCAUUGAAUUCCCGCACCAUGCAGACUCAUUUAACGGUAGUUCUUCCAAAGCUGCUUUUCUGCUUUGCUUUUGGAAUACUACUUUAUCUAAAUUUUCAUCUACCCUUUCAAUUCCUAUGCUUCUUGUGUUGAUUUCUCUUUUCCGACUUCUCAGAUUUUUAAUCUCAUUUUUAAACAUGAGAAUUCUCUGAGGUCUAUUUCUUGACCCUUUGUCCUCUUUUUAACUAUCCCUUGGGAAACUUGCACAAUCUAAAUGACUAACUAGAACUUAUGAGAUUAUGAGCCAGAUCUCUCCCUGCUUAUGAGCCCAUUUCAAUUAGAUGUCUCAGCAUCAUUGUAAGUUAAAAUGCAUAAAAUCCAAAACAAUAAAUUUUUCUCAAACCAAUGUUAUAUCUGAAAUGGUUAUUUCAAUGACUUUAAUGACUUUCAAUAACUUCAAUGACCUUAGCUUCUUUCUGUUCUUUCCACAAGCUAGUGCUUUAAUUUUUUAAGAAUAAACUUAACAGAUGAAAUGAUAAAGACAUAAUUUUUAUGUUGUGUUAUACUCUUGAUGGAAAUAUUUCCAAAUCUUUUGAAUGAAGAGCUUUGAAGAAAAACCUG